AACCGAAUCUAUCCUCAAAAUUGCCAAAAUCUUGACAGAGAGGAAUCCAAAUCUCAAUAAACGCUUCGGCUUCCGGCCGUCUAUCCUCGGGGACGGUUACCUCAAUCGCCCACGGCGUUUCAGAAGCAAAUCGUGGUGAAGAUCACACGGGGAUUCGGCUCUUGACUGCUUGGUGGUUGCGGCGCGAGGCUCCCUCAGAAACCCUAGGGUUUCUGAAACUACUUUGGGCCUGGGUCUAAUUCUGCUUAUUUCAGUUUGGGCCUUGUGGCCCGUUUGUAAUAAUUUUUUCUUUUACCCGAGCCAAAAUCGGGUACUACAGCUGCCCCUCUUUGCUCAUUGUCUUGUAACGGGAACAGAACAAAAACUUUAAAACGCCCGAUUUUGCCCGGUCAUUCUGGAUCUUGGUAUUCUUCAAAAGUAUAGGAAUUGGUGCCAUCUUCAUUCUA